rnacentral:lncRNA from 1 species
UCCGGACUGCAAGAACCUUGCGAUCAGGGGCUGGCCGCCAGAGGCACUAAGGCGGCCGCCUAGUUCCAGCAGCUAAGCCGGCCUGGGGUUGCCUAGUUACUGCCCAGAGAACAAGGAAGAGGUUCUAAAUGCAGGCAGACGCUCUGGCAAUCUUCGUCAAACUCUGUGGUGGCGUUGGCGUCCUAGAGCUCCGGAGUUGCUUACCCUUCCUGUAAGGGCAAUCGGACCCUUUCCGGUGAGGGAACCUCUCUCCAGACAUGAUCAAGAGAAACUGGCGAGGGACUGACAUGAUCUAGCUUACCUUGGGUCACCGAACGGAUUUGGUUUGUUUGUUCUUUCUCUACCCCAAGAAAAAGUCGCUAGCUACUGCAAGGUUUUGUUUUCAAACAAGGAACAGCAUGCCAAAAGAAAGUGCUGCGCCUACCUGAUGAGCAAGGGAAUAAUAUUCUUCUAGAAAACUUCUUGUAGUAGUAUCAAGUCUCCCCUUGAUUCUGAUAAACAUUGCGCGCGAAGUUUACACUUUAAGGAGGAGGCCGUUUCCCCCUUCUGAAAAGGACUCAUGUGAGAAUAUAUCUCUGUUGUAUUCAAAAGGCAUGUGACAUAAUUAUCCCAGCGAUCACUAAAACUGUAAAUUUGGAUGCAAUUAAGAGAGAAAACUCCACACAUUUAUGGAAAUUUAAGGUAAGAAAUUACUUGUACAGAAUUAAUUUUAUUUGUAUUUAUUCAUUUAUUGUGUAUGUGCAGGGGCAGAGUCACCUGGCCUCCAGGUAAAUAAUUAUGUUAACUGGAAUUUGAAAUGAUAAGGGAUUAGGAGUAAAGAAAAUGCAGAUUAACCUCCUGUGGUCUGAUCUACCUAUAAUCCCAACACUAGGGUGGCUGAGGCAGAAGUGUCUUUAGUUCAAAACUAAACUGGGAUACAUAGCUAAUUCAAAGCUGGCCUGAGAGAUAAGGGGAACUGGAAAGAGCACGACAUUAGUUUCAGGCGCACAAUACCCAAUGAUUCUAGAAUCCUCUACUGACAAAGCAAACUGACACAAGGAAAAAUACUUAAAGCCCAAAUCCAUUUCCACAAAACCAGUCACUAAGGGUAAAUUUUGGAGAUGAUAAUUAAGGAAGUGAUGAACUAGCAGGAAUUUUCUGUACUAAGUUUGUAAGAAGAAAGUUUUUUAAAUGUCUGUGUUCCCACAAAAAAAUAUUCAUUCUUUAGAACUAAUGCUAACGAAUCAAACACUUUGAAGUAAUUUAGAAGACAGAAUCACCAGUCUGAAUCUCUGCCUGACCACAUUUGUAUCCCCCCCCCCGCGCCCCCACCCCGUGUGUGUGUGUGUGUGUGUGUGUGUGUGUGUGUGUGUGUACAUGUGGAGGUCAGAAGACAGCAUUUGAGAGUUGCUUUUCUCCCUCCAUUAUGUGGGUCCCAGGACAGAAUCCAGAUUGUCAGCUUGGCAGCAAGUACCUUUACCCACUGAGCCAUGUUGCUGUCUUUCUUUAACUUUUUUCAAAAUUUAGAUUAGUAAAGGAAGCAAAUUUUCAUCUAUUAUAGGAAAAAAAAUGGACUUAAGUAGAAAAAUAAGAAAUGUUGCUAGGCAUUGUGGUAUGUUCUUAUAAUCCUAGCACUGGAAAAUUCAGGGCAGAAAAAUUAAGAGUUCUGUGGCAUCUUUGCUUACACAGUGAUUUUGAGACCAACCUGCCUACAUGAAAAUAUCACAAGAAAGAAGGGAAAGAAGAAUAAGAUAUUUAGCAAGUGGCUUGGUGGGUAAAAAUGCUUGCCACCAAACCAGCAACCUGAGGUCAGUCCCCAGAACCUACCUGGUGAAGGAGAGAACUGACUCUCUGGAGUUGUUCUCUGACCUCCACACUCUUGCCCUGGCAUGCACUUCCCACCCCCACACAAACACACUUCAUAAAUGUAAAAAAUGUUAAUAAAAAUGUUUACUUGGUAGCUGCAUUAGCUUCCUGGGGCUACCAUAACAACUUCUAAUCCAGAGGGCUUAAGAAAGCAGUGGGUUGGUUUUUUACACAUGAAAGCUAGAAAUGUAAAAUCAGCCACUGGCAGAGUUUGUGCUCCCUCUAAAUGCUCUGUAAAAGAAUCCUUUUUCCCUUUUCUAGCUUCUGCUGGAUCCUUAGCAUUCUUUGGUUUGUUGACAGCAUACUUCCAUUAUCUUCCUCCAUGUUUAGAUAACCUUUGUACAUGUGGGGCCCUGUUUCAAAUCUUAGCAUAUUGUGUAUAUACAUGAUUCUAGGGACCCACCCAGGGUCUCCCACAUUUUGGGCAAGCACACUACCACUUAAUGUGUUUUGUUAUGAGGACAGGAGUCAUUAAAUUUUAGGUCUACCUUACAUCUAGAAUGAUCUCAUCUUAAUGGCAUAAUUAUAUCUACAAAGACCUUAUUUCCAAGUAAGGUGAUAUUCACUGGUAUUGUGGUUAGAACAUGAACAUAUUUCUGAGGGGUACAAUUCACUGAACUAUCCUUUACUUUAUUAUCAUCUUUAUUUUUAUUUUUGUUUGUUUGUUUGUUUUGUUUUUUCAAGACAGGGUUUCUCGGUGUAGCCCUGGCUGUCCUGGAACUCACUCUGUAGACCAGGCUGGCCUCGAACUCAGAAAUCUACCUGCCUCUGCCUCCCAAGUGUGCCUCUGCCUCCCAAGGGUUGGGAUUAAAGGCAUGUGCCACCACUGCCUCGCUCAUCUUUAUUUUUAAAUAAAUCUUUUUUGGAGGGAGGGGGUUUCAAGACAGGGUUUUUCUAUAUAGCCUGGUUAUCCUGGAACUCACUCUGUAGACCGGGCUAGCCUCAAACUCAGAAAUCCACCUGUCUCUGCCUCCUAAGUACUGGGAUUAAAGGCAUGUGCCACCACUACCUGGCUAAAUAAAUCUUAUUUGCCAUUAUUAUAUGCAUGUAUUGAUGUGUGUGCAUGAUGUGUGUACACGUGACUUUCAGAGGUCAACUUUGUGGAAUUGGUUCUCUCCUUCCCCUUUUAUGUGGGUUCCAGGAAUUGAACAUAUUAUCCUUUUAAAAGUCAUAUUUCAGGACGAUUAAGAGUAUAUACAGCAAAACUUGACAGCCUGAGUUGGAUCCUCAGAUCCACAGAGUAGGAGAGAACUGACUCCUGUAAAGUUGGCCUCUGACUUCAACACAUGUGCAAUGGUAUUGUGCUGGUAGGAGUACAUAUACAAAGGAAAUAAACUGUCAACAUAAUUAAAAUCACAUUGCAUGAACCAAGGAUAUGGCUCAGUUGGUAAACUUCUUGGUUAGAAUGGAAGAUAAUUUCUCAAAUUUAAAAGCCAUCUAAAGAGACAAUCCUAAAUUUGAACAAGGAAAGCAGAAUAUUAAUAUUAAUAUUGAUCUAAAGCAGUGGUUCUCCACCUGUGGGUUAUGACCCCUUUGGAAAGGGUCACAUAUCAGAUAUCCUAUGCAUCAGGUAUUUACAUUAGAACCUGUAACAGUAGCAAAAUUAUCGUUAUGUAGCAGCAAAAUAAUGUUAUGGUUGGGAGUCACCACAACAUCAGGCAGCAUAUUAAAGGUCACAGCAUUAGGAAGGUUGACAACUAAUAGAGAUUAUGAACUCCUGAAACUAAACAAAAGUAGUAAUGAAAACAAAUGAGAAAAAAGUGGAAGGGCACUCUCAGCAGAAAAAUAGGCAGCAUUAUUAAAUUCAACACCAUAUACACAUACAUAUAAUGAAAGUGUUAGGAAGAAGAGUGAGAGGAAAUAGUUUGAAGAUACAUUGUAACAAUGUUGGAAGCCUUUGUUUAAAAGUAAACAUCCACACAGGAAGCUCAGUGAGCUACAAAUAUAAACAUUUAGUAGUGCCCACUAACCUAUUGAAAAUCGAUAUUGAAUAUGUAGUAUAUGCCAGACAAGAUGAUAAUAAAAACUAAAAGGAUCUGGAUGUUGAAUUCUCAGCUCCUUCUCCAGGACCAUGUCUGCCUGGAUGCUGCCAUGCCAUGCUUCCUGCCAUGAGAAUAAUAGACUCAACCUCUGAAACUGGAUGGAAUGUAAUCCAGAAUGUACUUUUUUAUUUCUGAAAUCUCUGUAAAACAGUACAAUGGAAAAAUGAAAACGAAAGACAUAAUUGAGGAAAUCCAACAUCCCACAAAAAGGAAUUCUAGAAAGGGGAGGCUUCGUGUAUACCAGCUGGCCUUGAGUUCACCCUGUAGCUCACUUCCUGAUCUCCAGACUUUCCCUCCAAGUGCUGAUAUUCGAGUCCAGUGGCACUAAACGUGUGGAGUAGUUUUAAUCAAAAUGUGUUCUUUGUGCUUAUUAUCUUACAGUUUUUCUAUAAUAUUCUAAUAGUAUAAAAAAGAUCUCAAGAUUUGCCACAUCUUAGGCUAUCUUUGUUCUAUUAAAUUGUAACAAUGAAAAAAAAUGUCCGUUUUGAGACACAGAUAUGCUUCUGUGAGAGGCUUGCUAAGGCUAGGAACACAGUGGAAGCUAAAACUGUAUUGAAGAACUACCCAGAGAAGAAACACUUGAUGCAAUUUUUGACUCCUAAGCACAACACCAACUAUUGUGGGUGUCACAUAAUUUCUUACUCUUAUGCACUGUAUGAAGUUAAAAGCCAGUUUAAAAUUAUCACUAGUAAAUCUGUAAAAAAUAUUUUAUUAAAAUUCUCAACCAUAGUAUUUUCUUGUCUGAUAAAAUAGGAAGAUAUGACUAUUAUGGAAAUAUCAAUCAGAACUCUUGUGAUGAAGUUGUAUGAUUAACAACUUAUAGUUUCAUGAAACACAUUGUUAUUCAUUGAAUGGCUGGUUGGUAAACCAUGGUUAUUCUAAAUUAGGUAUCUAGUCAGACAGAAAAUGAUUAAAUAUCACCUGCCACUUAUUUGCAGCUUGCUGGCUUGCUGAGUGGAAAAUGAUUCUUUCCCAGUUCUCCUUGGUUUCUUCCUUUCAUGAAUUGAUUAACACUGAGAGAUUAUGUUUUAAUUAUGUCGACUAGAGGUUUUAAAUGAUUCUAGGUUUCUGUGUCCAUUUGUUUUCCUAGGUUUGGGGAAUUUGCUACUGCAAUAUCGUUGUAUAGAUAUUCUUUGCUUUAGUGAGAAACUCAGCUCCUUCUACUCUGUGGUUCUUAGCUUUAGUCUAUUGUACACAUCACAGAGUUAAUGAAAGCUGUGGUCAUACUUGAUUUUUUCUUCAUUACUAUUGAAAUAAAGCAUAUCCUUGACCUUGUCUCCAAUCUCUAUUUUCAAGUCUGUUGGGGAUACAUUCCACUAUUGUUUGAUUGAAAUAUCCAUUUCCAACAUUUCUAUUACUUUGCUUCUUUUUUUUUUGUCCCCACCAAAAAUAAAUAUUUAUAGAAUUGUAAAUCAAAAUGAAACAUUUUUCUGUAUGUAUAAAAACAAAAGGAAACAAACAAAUAAAAAAAUCUGCAUAUUGAACAAGUCUCAAUCACCUGAAUAGAGACCACUACGGGGAAUGUCUCAGGCUACACUACCAGCAUCUUUGGACUUUAUUUCCCACUGACAUAGGUGUGUAUCAUACAUUGUGGGCCUGUUUAUUUCCCAAUUUUAUCUUCUCUCCCCGUAGGCCUCCCUCCUCCAAACAAGUUCUUCUCCCACUAUCAGAUCUUUCUGUUUUGGUUUUUAUUUUGUGGCCCACUGAGUUUAACAAAGGCUACAAUGUAGUUAUCUACUGGAACAUGAACAGUUCACCAGGGUGAUACUUCUGAAGACAAUGAUUCUCAGCCUCCCACAGGCAACUGCCAAUAUCUCAAGAGUUCUGGCCCAAUGUUGACUCUCAAUCCAUAACAGAAUGCUGAAAGGUCCAUACUUGUGAAGGUCCUUCAGUAAGUUCAUGAGUACAAAGGCUAUGCCAUGUUCAUAGACUUUCAUGACUCUCUUCUCUGGUCCAGCUCUUGUAUUCUGUCUGCACACUCUUCAGUGAUUUUUCCCAAAUAUGGAAGAGGUGGUUCAGUGUAUCAUUUAAUUCUAAGCACUCAAUGGCCAGUUGUUCUCAACACUUUCUUUUUCAUUUUUCAGCCAGAUAACUCCAUACAAACUUCCAUACACUGCAUAAAGAAUAUUUUCUGGCAAAGGCUAAAGACAGCGUUAAAUAUUGGAUAUAAACAUAAAUAUUCAAAAGGCAGUUUGAAAACACGUUCAUUUGUCAGAACAGAUGCAAUAGCUUCACCUCUAGGGCCUAUGACAUCCCUACUCUUUGACUAGUAUUUGACCAAGUCCACAGUACCCUCUGGCAGAGUUGAGCUUCAAAUCCAAUCAGAAUGCAAUUGGUUACUGCAUAAAAGUCACGCCACCAUUAAAUCAAUGGGAAGGUUGGCAUUGUAGCAUCCAAGGUCAACAAAUACUCUUAACUAAGACUAUUGAUGAGAUUUCCUCCCAGGUGCCUUCAUCAAAACUGCUGCCAUUCUGAAAGUUAGCCAGCAGGAAGAAAGCUUACAGGUCAGAUCCCACAGGAUUUCUUUACAACUUCCAUCCAGGCUACCAUUGGACUGAGCCAAGGGAUCCCAAUGUAAGAGUUGAGGGAAGGACUGAAGGAGCUGAAGGAAAUUGCAACCCCAUAGGAAGAACUGCAAUAUCAACUAACUGAACCCCUUCAGAGCUCCCAGGGACUAAACCACCAACCAAAGAGUAUACAUGAAUGGUUUAAAAAUACUUCAUGGACAUAAAUGUGGAAACACAAGAUCAUCCAAGGAGUCAUCACAUUAGAAAAUGGCUAUUCAACGAUGUCUGCUGUUGUUCAUCAGGCAAGCAUUUGUGUAAUGAGACUAUGGAGAGCACGAUAAGCCAACUUUCCAGUGUAUAUCAUAUUUCAUCGAAAACAAAACUGAAGGUAGAAGAAAUGAUUUGUUGAGACAAGACUAGCUUCACCUUGGCAAAAAUCUAUUUCUUCAAGUUUUGGCAUACCUUUCACCUAUACCAAGCUUUAAGAAAGCUAUAAAGAAGAACUGAUGGGGCUGGUGAGAUGGCUCAGUAAGUAAGAGCACCCGACUGCUCUUCCGAAGGUCCGGAGUUCAAAUCCCAGCAACCACAUGGUGGCUCACAACCAUCCUAACGAGAUCUGACUCCCUCUUCUGGAGUGUCUGAAGACAGCUACAGUGUACUUACAUAUAAAUAAAUAAAUCUUUAAAAAAAGAAGAGCUGAUGAAAUACCUCAGUGUCUAAGAACAUAUGAUUCAAGUUUUUUUUCCCGGCACCAAUGUCCAGCAGCUCACAAUUGCCUAUAAUUUCAGCUCAACCAUCAGCUUCUAACCCCUGCAGACACACAUGCACAUAAUUAAAAAGAAUAAAAAGUCUUUAAAAAUAAAUCUUAAGAAAUAAAAAUAUUAACUUGCGAACUAUUUAAGUGGGAAAGACAAAGCUGAAACUACCAGAAUCUUUAUUUGUAACCUGGGACACUGAAGCAGAGAUAGCUCACUUCUCACAUCAAAGGAACUUUAUUUCGUAUGGAAUGCUAGGAGAGUAGAUGAUGAAUUUCUCGG